rnacentral:rRNA from 1 species
AAAUCUGGUUGAUCCUGCCAGAGGCGACCGCUUUUGGAGUUCGAUUAAGCCAUGCGAGUAGAAAGAAAUUAGAUUCUUUGCGAACUGCUCAGUAACACGUGGAUAACCUGCCCUAUGCUCCGGAAUAACCUCGGGAAACUGAGAAUAAUACCGGAUAGAUCACAACGCCUGGAACGGUGUGUGGUUCAAAGGUCACGGCAUAGGAUGGGUCUGCGGCGUAUCAGGUCGUAGGGGGUGUAAAGGACCUCCUAGCCAUCGACGCGUACGGGUGUUGGGAGACAUAGCCCGGAGAUGGAUUCUGAGACACGAAUCCAGGCCCUAC